rnacentral:rRNA from 1 species
UACGUAGGGACCAAGCGUUGUUCGGAUUUACUGGGCGUAAAGGGCGCGUAGGCGGCGUGUCAAGUCAGUUGUGAAAUCUCCGGGCUUAACUCGGAACGGUCAAUUGAUACUGAUGUGCUAGAGUGCAGAAGGGGCAAUCGGAAUUCUUGGUGUAGCGGUGAAAUGCGUAGAUAUCAAGAGGAACACCUGAGGUGAAGACGGGUUGCUGGGCUGACACUGACGCUGAGGCGCGAAAGCUAGGGUAGCAAACGGG